GACGAACCGAGCGAACGUUGUUCGGAAUCACUGGGCUUAAAAGGCGCGUAGGCGGGUGCUCAAGUCCGUGGUGAAAUCCUCCGGCUCAACCGGAGAACUGCCUCGGAUACUGGGUGCCUCGAGGGUGGUAGGGGUAUGCGGAACUAUCGGUGGAGCGGUGAAAUGCGUUGAUAUCGAUAGGAACUCCGGUGGCGAAGGCGGCAUACUGGACCACCUCUGACGCUGAGGCGCGAAAGCCAGGGGAGCAAACGGG
rnacentral:rRNA from 1 species